rnacentral:rRNA from 1 species
UACGGAGGGUGCAAGCGUUAUCCGGAUUCACUGGGUUUAAAGGGUGCGUAGGCGGGCAGGUAAGUCAGAGGUGAAAUCUCCGGGCUUAACCCGGAAACUGCCUUUGAUACUAUCUGUCUUGAAUAUGGUGGAGGUAAGCGGAAUAUGUCAUGUAGCGGUGAAAUGCUUAGAGAUGACAUAGAACACCCAUUGCGAAGGCAGCUUACUACUAAUGGAUUGACGCUGAUGGACGAAAGCGUGGGUAGCGAACAGG